GACGAACGCUGGCGGCGUGCCUAAUACAUGCAAGUAGAACGCUGAAGGAGGAGCUUGCUUCUCUGGAUGAGUUGCGAACGGGUGAGUAACGCGUAGGUAACCUGCCUGGUAGCGGGGGAUAACUAUUGGAAACGAUAGCUAAUACCGCAUAAGAGUAGAUGUUGCAUGACAUUUGCUUAAAAGGUGCAAUUGCAUCACUACCAGAUGGACCUGCGUUGUAUUAGCUAGUGGGUGGGGUAACGGCUCACCAAGGCGACGAUACAUAGCCGACCUGAGAGGGUGAUCGGCCACACUGGGACUGAGACACGGCCCAGACUCCUACGGGAGGCAGCAGUAGGGAAUCUUCGGCAAUGGACGGAAGUCUGACCGAGCAACGCCGCGUGAGUGAAGAAGGUUUUCGGAUCGUAAAGCUCUGUUGUAAGAGAAGAACGAGUGUGAGAGUGGAAAGUUCACACUGUGACGGUAUCUUACCAGAAAGGGACGGCUAACUACGUG
rnacentral:rRNA from 1 species